GGAAAGAAAAAAAACGCACGACGACCUCGCCUUCCAUCACCACCUCCAGCGCUCCACCUCCAGCGCGCCGCCGCAUCGACGCGCAGCCGCCUGCCGCCAACGCCCCUCCGCCGUGCGCCUUCCCCACCGCUAUGGCUUUCCACCACCGGCGACACUCGAUGUUGGCGCCACACCUUCCCCCAUCCCCUCUCUCUCGCCACGACCCGACGUCGUCGUCCUCCACCACCAGCCCAGCCCUUGCGUCUUCCUCUUAAAGCGACGCUACCCACCCUCCCUCCUCUCUUUGGCCGACGUCCCGUGCUCCGGCAACGGCAAAAAACAGUUCCAAACCGUCUGCCUCGCCUCUCAAUCACAGGUGAGCCGACGGGAGUCGGUUCCUCUCCUCCCCAAUGCUCUUCUAAACCUGGCCAGAGCACCUGCUCCUCCCAUCACGCGCAGAUCGACGGAGCAGUUCGAUGGUCGUUGCCCAGCUGCGUGCAGUUCAGUACUGCUCUGCCCCAACGACUUCAACCACCAUCUCGCCAGCUUGCUUGUGGACCCAAGAUUGUCCAAGUGAGAUGUUGGGAGAAGGUGCUAGCUGCACACGGAGUCUCGUUUCUUGGUAAUGGCGAACCAGUUUCCAUAUCUCAGCAUAUUCAACAUGUUAAGAGUUCAAUUUGUCUCGGUAUGCUGCUAUAGGGCUUGGGCACAUGCGCCUUUCUCAAGAUGUGUCUGCAAGCAGCUAUACAUUUUUAUCCUGUUGUGCUCUGAUCGCCUGAUGGUCUUGGAUGGUGUAAUUGCUUUUGAUGAUUUAGGAAAAUUUGUGUUAAAUCUUCUCGAAAGAUUCAAGCUGGUUGACAUGAAACCGGUGGUGGAGCAGUGCAGCAGACGUCAAGGCUAUGAAUGGCGGCAAGGGAUAGAGCCCUGGCGCUUGCUUGAGAAUUUAGUUGCUAUAGCUAAUAAUGACUGACCAAAUCAGUAUGUCUGGAAGUUGAACAUUUAGGCUACAACCUGUACGAGACAAAUGAGCUUGUUUAAGGAAUUCAAGUAUGGACGUGGAGCAGCAGAUGGAUGGAUGUUAGCCAACACAAAAGUUGCACACGGCAGCAAGGCCAUUGUCCAUCUCCAGAGAAGCGCAAGGCCAUUGUCCAUCUCCAGAGAAGCGCAAGGCCAAUAGCCCACUAGAUAAGGCUAUCGAGGAGCCGUCUGAAAUAGAUGUACUUAUUGCGUUAUUUGAAAUGAAUGGAUAUCUUGUUGACACAGUUUUGGGAUAAAAUAAAACAGAUUAAGUGAUGGGUGUCAGGCUCUACGGUGUGUUUGACUACAACACUACUGAUGUUGCACAAUCUGCCGGGGAUGAAGUGGCAGAUGCCAUCGCAAGUGUUUGCACAUGAUGCAGUAAUAGACAAAGCAUAUCAAGGUGCAGUGUCCUAGGCUCCUAGGUGUUCAAAGGUUCAUGCAUAUCCAAGUGUUCUUGACCCAUGAAGUAGCAGACUAGCAGCCACGUACAUGUUCACUCUGCAUGGAGAUUCAGUAUGCAUAUAUCAAGAAAAUAUAUCAGACAGUGUUAUUCCCAUUUUCUGGCAACAAGCAGAGUGACUGCUAAGCUCUUCAGCAUGUCCGCAGUCAAUCUGGUAGCAAAAGUAGUUGCAAAGGAAAGUUGACUACACUGACAAAAAAAUAGAUGUUUGCUUUAUUCUAUUAUGCAGAACUAUACUACAUUAUAUCUUUAGACUGGGACACUGAUGUAUAGACCAUCAUUUUUUAGUACUUAGAAGGGGUUCAUGGCAAAAGAUAAAUUUCAGAUGUACAUGGUAUAACUUUCACCUUUGAGGCUCUUCAAGACA